AUUUAACGCUGGCGGCAGGACUAACACAUGCAAGUCGAGCGGAGCGGCGGACGGGUGAGUAAUGCCUAGGAAUCUGCCUGGUAGUGGGGGAUAACGUCCGGAAACGGGCGCUAAUACCGCAUACUAUCAGAUGAGCCUAGGUCGGAUUAGCUAGUUGGUGGGGUAAAGGCCUACCAAGGCUACGAUCCGUAACUGGUCUGAGAGCAUGAUCAGUCAAAAUGGAACUGAGACACGGUCCAGACUCAGACGUGAGGAAGCAGUGGGGAAUAUGGGACAAUGGGGGAAAGCCUGAUCCAGCCAUGCCGAGUGUGUGAAGAAGGUCUUAGGAUUGUAAAGCACUUUAAGUUGGGAGGCGUUACCAACAGAAUAAGAACAGGAGAACUUCGUGCCAGCAGCCGCGGUAAUAA
rnacentral:rRNA from 1 species